GCGCCCGUAGCUCAGUUGGAUAGAGUAUUGCCCUCCGAAGGCAAGGGUCGGACGUUCGAAUCGUCUCGGGCGCGCCA
rnacentral:tRNA from 1 species